UGGGGUAUCGCCAAGCGGUAAGGCACCGGUGGUUUUGAUCCUGGCAUUCCCAGGUUCGAAUCCUGGUACCCCAGCCA
rnacentral:tRNA from 1 species